rnacentral:rRNA from 1 species
UACGUAGGGUGCAAGCGUUAAUCGGAAUUACUGGGCGUAAAGCGUGCGCAGGCGGUUCGUGAUGUCUGGUGUGAAAGCCCCGGGCUUAACCUGGGAAUUGCAUCGGAAACUAGCGGGCUGGAGUGUGGCAGAGGGGGGUGGAAUUCCACGUGUAGCAGUGAAAUGCGUAGAGAUGUGGAGGAACACCGAUGGCGAAGGCAGCCCCCUGGGCUAACACUGACGCUCAUGCACGAAAGCGUGGGGAGCAAACAGG